CAUUCAGUCGGGUCUUCAGUCCAUGCAGAAUGGCUCAGUUGGUUACUUCGACCUCACUGUUGGACUGUGGAUGCCCGAUCGAGGUCAGCCUGUGCGCGAUAUGAAAUCUCGCACAGAACUCUCGAAAGUCUCGAUUGUCGAAUUAUCGUCCAUUGUCGGUGAUAAUAGUGUGCGGUAGUCCGAACCUGAAGAUGAUGGACUUCUGGACGAAAUCUUACAUCUUCCGCUCGGUGAUCUGCGCC
rnacentral:lncRNA from 1 species